AGAACGAACGCUGGCGGCAGGCUUAACACAUGCAAGUCGAGCGAUCGCAGCAAUGCGGGAGCGGCAGACGGGUGAGUAACGCGUGGGAACGUACCCUCCGGUUCGGAAUAACUCAGGGAAACUUGAGCUAAUACCGGAUACGGUCGAGAGGCGAAAGAUUCAUCGCCGGAGGAUCGGCCCGCGUUCGAUUAGCUAGUUGGCGGGGUAAUGGCCCACCAAGGCGACGAUCGAUAGCUGGUCUGAGAGGAUGAUCAGCCACAUUGGGACUGAGACACGGCCCAAACUCCUACGGGAGGCAGCAGUGGGGAAUAUUGGACAAUGGGCGCAAGCCUGAUCCAGCCAUGCCGCGUGAGUGAUGACGGCCUUAGGGUUGUAAAGCUCUUUCGCUAGGGACGAUAAUGACGGUACCUAGACAAGAGCCCCGGCUAACUUCGUGCCAGCAGCCGC
rnacentral:rRNA from 1 species